UACAGAGGUCCCAAGCGUUGUUCGGAUUCAUUGGGGCGGUAAAGGGUGCGUAGGCGGCGCGGUAAGGUCGGGUGUGAAAUCUCGGGGCUUAAACUCCGAAACUGCAUUUCGAUACUGCCGUGCUUGAGGACUGGAGAGGAGACUGGGAAUUUACGGUGUAGCGGUGAAAAUGCGUAGAUAUCGUAAGGAAGAACCAGUGGCGAAGGCGGGUCUCUGGACAGUUCCUGACGUGAGGCACGAAAGGCCAGGGGAGCAAAACGGGG
rnacentral:rRNA from 1 species